AUGGCGAUGGCCAAGAUCAAUCAGGCAGCAGCUGCCGAUGGUGUGGUGGACAUGAGCGAGCUGCUCCACACAUUCGCGAAUGACAUGGCGUGCCGCAUCGUGUCGGGGAAGUUUUUCCUGAAAGAUGGUCGAAGCAAGUUGUUCCGGGAACUCAUCAAGGAUACCUCACGGUUGCUAGGCGGGUUCAAUUUGGAGGAGUACUUCCCGGCAUUGGGUAGGGUAGGAGUGCUCAAGAAGGCGGUUUGUGCCAAGGCCGAAGCAGUGUGGAACAGAUGGGCCGAUCUGUUGGACAAGGUGAUCAACGAUCGUGUAAGCAAGCGCAAGUCAACAUCUGAUCACAAGGAUGACGAUUUUGUGGAUAUUAUGUUGUCUGUCCAACAGGAGUAUGAUCUCACAAGAGAGCACAUGAAAGCUCUCCUCACAGAUGUAUUUUUUGGUGCGAUAGACAGAUCAGCUAACGCCCUCGAAUUCACCUUGGCUGAGCUCAUGAGGAAGCCACACCUGAUGGUGAAGCUACAAGAUGAGGUGAGGGGUAUUGUACCCCAAGGACAAGAAAUUAUCAGUGAAACCAACAUGAACAACAUGACGUACCUAAGAGCAGUCAUAAAAGAGUCGCUCCAGCUACAUCCUCUUGCUCCUCUCCUUGCUCCCCACCUUGCCAUGGCUGACUGCAUCAUCGAUGGAUACAUAAUUCCUGCUGGGACACGUGUGGUUGUCAAUGCAUGGGCCAUUGGUAGGGAUCCGAGCUCCUGGGAGUAUGAGGAAGAGUUCGUUCCUAAAAGAUUUACAGAUGAAGGCAGCAGUAUGCAUGUCAACUUCAAGGGGAAUGAUUUCCAGUUCUUGCCGUUCGGAGCAGGACGGAGGAUGUGCCCUGGUAUGAACCUUGGGAUCGCGAAUGUGGAGCUUAUGUUGGCAAACCUUGUGUGCCAUUUUGAC
rnacentral:rRNA from 1 species